AUGCAUUUUAGAAGUGUUAGGGUUAGGGUGAGGGUUAAAUUGUAUUCAAUAUAGGUGCACGCUGAGGGUCAGUCAGUGAGGUACAGCACCUGCGAGUGACCAAUCGGCAGAGACAAGUGCCAUCAUAUGGCAGCCUUGUUGAUUUGGGUAGAGAAAAAUGUGUCCCGCACCGACGUGGAAUGCGUGUGGAAGAGGGUGAAGACAUAGAAAACGGACAAAAUUGCAGCCAAGAGGGUGUCUGAGAUGACACCAUCCACAACACAAGCUGGAAUAAAAAGACCUGUCACCCAGGAGGACAAGGAAUGGACACUGGCAUUCUUGUCACAACUUUGGUGUUUUACUGGGAUGGGAUGGAUUUUGAGUCCAGAAAUGUCUCAGACUCUCCCUAUCAAGACGUUUGAUGGGCUGGUGACCAGCCCAGAUUAUGCCCAAGCUGCGGACAAGACUCUUUAUGUGCUGUCAUCGCUUGCUGUCACCGAUCAGGAGAACCAGAAGAUUGAGGGAGCUACAGUUUGGCAAGCAAAGAACGCAUUAUGAUCUCAGUCUGAUUGAGCACCUGUGGGAUGUGCUGGAACAACAAGUCCGAUCCAUGGCGGCUCCACCUCGCAACUUACAGGACUUAAGGAUCUGCUGCUAAUGUCUUGGUGCUAGAUACCACAGGACACCUUCAGGGGUCUUGUAGAGUCCAUACCUCAGCGGAUCGGCGCUGUUUUGGUGGCACACGAAGGACCAACAGCAUAUUAGGCAGAUGAAACUGAUCUCUGCUUGAAGAUGAACAGAACACUGAAACACUAAAAACAAAACAAACACAACAAAAGGGCUUUCUCAGCGCUAGCAGUACCUGGUGUUUGGGUGAAGGAUAGUGUGUGCUUCUGGCCUCCAUAUAAAAUUGAAGCAAUUCAGAGGGCAACAAAGACUUUGGAGCAACCUCAAGACAGUUGGACUUUAUACAAAAGUCAUGUGUACUUUAACGCCAAUACAACUGUCAUAACGAAUUACGACAGAAGCUGCCUCUGACAGAACUGCAGACUGAUCUUCAGCCUGAGGCAGAGAUGGAUUCGUUGAUGCCACUAAAAAGGAAAACCAAGUAAGAUUGUGUAUGAAUUAGACACAUUAAACAUUAAGGGCAUACACAAAAGGAGGGCGCUCCAUCUGACUUCCAUCCCCUUAAAAUGAUUUGCCUGCCGAUCAUGAGACUGGUCAGAACCCAAUUUUUUUAUGUGAGUAUCCCCCCAAUUUAUGACUGACCCAUCACCCAAAAUACAGAGUCUGGGACAAAGUAAAAUUUGUUGCUCAAAACGUCACCCAUAAAACUCUGAACUUUCAACCAAAAUUCUUGAAUCUUAGCACACCCCCAAAAAACAUGGAUUCUUCUGAUUGGCAUCACCAGCAGGUGGGUGUGUCUUUAAAACCAAGCCUAUAUAAUCUAGAGGGGGCCCAAUACAAUCUAUGUAAAAUCUUAAAUUGCAUAAGGCGCAUCCUUGCAUCUCUAGAUGCAGACUUGACAUUUUUUAGAAUCCUAGCCCACACUUCCUCCUCAAAUACCAAGUUUAAAUCUUUCUCCCAUAAUCGCUUGAUAGAAGUUAAAGCUCCAUCCCCCAGACUCUGAAUUAACAGGGAGUAAUACACUGAUGCCUCAUGACCUUUGCAGUAAUCACCUCUCCCAGAGUAUCUGCCGCUUUAGGGGGGUGUGAGCUACACCCCAAAAUAUUACAGAGCAGGUGGCGCAGCUGUAAAUACCUUUUGAACUAAGAUCUGGGAAUCACAAAGUGUUGGACCAAAUUUUCAAAAGAUCUAACUCCACUCUCAUAUAGGUCACCGAGUGUAGUAACCCCCCUCACAAUCCACUCUGACCAGCAGAAAGGGGACCUUUCAAUACAUAGUUUAGGGUUCGAGCCAUAUGCUUGAGGCAACAUUUAAAUAAAUGUCCAAAUUAAACACUCUGGACACUUUUGUCCAUACCGAGUGCAAAUGCGAGACAACGGGGUGUGACUUAACUACUCCGGUUAGUUUAAUAGAAAGGCUUUGUAAUGGCAAAAUAGGGGCAAGAACUUCCUGUUCAAUACAAAACCAGGGAGGGGCUCUCUCAGGUGGAAGCAACCAAUGAGCCAAAUGUCUGGGACCGAAUGCAUAAUAAUAAAAUAAAAUCUUGGGUAGGCCUAGCCAACCUUUGUCAGUCGGCCUAUGUAACUUAUUAAAAUGUAAUCUGGGACGUUUACCAUUCCAAAUGAAGGACUUCGCUAUACUAUCAAAUUGCUUGAAAUAAGAGAGGGGGACAUCUACAGGGAGAGACUGUAACAAGUAGUUCAAUUUUGGAAUACAAUUUAUUUUAAUAACAUUAACCAUCCCAGUCAUAGAUAAAUGUAAUGAGGAGGUUGCUUUUAUUUUUAACAGUUCAGUUUAACAUUUAUUUUUUCCAAACUUUAUUUAUAAUUUUUACAUUUAUUGCUUGUUUCUAUUCUAUAAAGUUCUAUUGUCUUUUACAGCUUAUUUGAUUGUUCAGCAUUUGUAUGUUUAUUGCUUGCUUUUGUAAUAUUAAUGUAUCCAUUACAUAGUUUACAUUUGUAUAUUUUACUGUUUUCUUUAGAUAUUGUUUUAUUUAAUGUUGAACAAUUUUUACUUUUAUUGCUUGCUUUUGUUAUAUUGUCUUUCUGCAGCUUUUUUUUUAUCCUUUACAUAUUUUCACACUUAUGUAAAGAUUUGAGUAUGUGUAUUUUUUCCAUGAGGUUUGCAAUUAUGUUGGCAAAUAUG